rnacentral:rRNA from 1 species
UACGAAGGGGGCUAGCGUUGCUCGGAAUCACUGGGCGUAAAGGGUGCGUAGGCGGGUCUUUAAGUCAGGGGUGAAAUCCUGGAGCUCAACUCCAGAACUGCCUUUGAUACUGAGGAUCUUGAGUUCGGGAGAGGUGAGUGGAACUGCGAGUGUAGAGGUGAAAUCGUAGAUAUUCGCAAGAACACCAGUGGCGAAGGCGGCUCACUGGCCCGAUACUGACGCUGAGGCACGAAAGCGUGGGGAGC